UGCUAAUCUAGAUAUCUAAUUGAUGUGGUGGCUCUAAUCUUGAUCAGAGGCUUCUUCUCCUUUGAGGAAUAAUGAAUUAGGGUUGAGAGGCUCUCUCCUCUAGGGGCCAGGGGGUCUGGUUUUAUAGUCCCUUCAAGUGAAUAUGGGCCGUUGGAUCAAACCGACAUUGAUUGAACGGUUAUCCUUGAUCCUUUAGGUCGGUGGAGAUUAGUCCCGAAAGAGAGUCCUGAUCCAACUCUGUGAGGGGGCGGGCGCCCAGGUCAACUGGGCGGGCGCCCAGUGCCUGGCCCCGUUCGGCCUCCGCUUCCUUCCCGUGGCUUCUGGAGUCUUCUAGAUGUAAGAUAAUUGCGCGGCACGUUGAUAUCUCUAUGUUAUCCCGACGUAUGGGCCUUCUUCCGUAUUUCCUGAUACCCCCCUACAGAAAUAGACAAACACCAAAACUCAUGGAAUUCUGUCAGAUAAAACCCUAAGUCUAGAUGUUGAUUUCAUUUGGAUCCUUUUCUUUGUUUGUUUGAUAAUUAAAUUUGAUACUUAAGGACCGUCAACAGAGGCGCUGAUAGAAGUACCGACUCCGCCAUCUAACGAAUCCCAGGACAACUAG
rnacentral:lncRNA from 1 species